rnacentral:misc_RNA from 1 species
AAGUCGUAACAAGGUAACCGUAGGUGAACCUGCGGUUGGAUCAUUAUUGAAAUUAUAAUCCAAUCUUUUUUUCUCAUAACUUCUGUUAAAAGAAGGCUAUGAGAUUGAAGGAAACAUCAUGUGAACUUGUUUAAUUGUCUCUGGUGGGUUAAAACGAUAAAGUAGUUUGAAAAAAUUACUUUACCCGGAAUGUGUGUGGCUUGGUGUUUGUGGGUAAAUUAUAUUUAUCCAUUCCCACCCCUCCACCCCCAUUUACCCACUAUUUUUUUGUAUAUCAAAACCUGUUUUGUUUAACCUGGACCGAAUUUUUAAAAUGUUUUUUUUCCUUUAAAAGAAAAUAACAAAUCUAAAAAAAAAACAACUUUUGACAACGGAUCUCUAGGCUCUC